rnacentral:lncRNA from 1 species
AAUCAAAUCACACGGCAACUACACCUAGAGGUUCAUCUUCAGUUUUGAUGGGUUGUCACUACAUACUACUAGGUGUCACUAGUGGAUUGUGAGACCAAUUAGAAUUAUUUCAAUGAUCAAUAAUUCUAACUGACUGAAUUAAAAAGAGUUCUGAUCCAUCGAAAAGAGUUUUGAUAAGGUUGAUGAUAGAGAUCACAGCAUAUCUCAUUACCAUGC